rnacentral:rRNA from 1 species
UCAGUAACGGCGAGUGAAGCGGCAACAGCUCAAAUUUGAAAUCUGGCUCUUUCAGAGUCCGAGUUGUAAUUUGUAGAGGAUGCUUCGGAAUGGUCCCAGUCUAAGUUCCUUGGAACAGGACGUCGCAGAGGGUGAGAAUCCCGUAUGUGACUGGGUAACCGGCCCAUGUGAAGCUCCUUCGACGAGUCGAGUUGUUUGGGAAUGCAGCUCUAAAUGGGUGGUAAAUUUCAUCUAAAGCUAAAUAUUGGCCAGAGACCGAUAGCGCACAAGUAGAGUGAUCGAAAGAUGAAAAGCACUUUGGAAAGAGAGUUAAAAAGUACGUGAAAUUGUUGAAAGGGAAGCGUUUGCAACCAGACUUGCCUGCAGUUGAUCAGCUGGUGUUCUCACCGGUGCACUCUUCUGCAGACAGGCCAGCAUCAGUUUGGGUGGUUGGAUAAAGGCUGGAGGAAUGUAGCUCCUCUCGGGGAGAACUUAUAGCCUCCAGCGUCAUGCAGCCUGCCCGGACUGAGGACCGCGCUUUUUGCUAGGAUSUUGCGAAKGGA